rfam:Pan troglodytes isolate Yerkes chimp pedigree #C0471 (Clint) chromosome 2B, whole genome shotgun sequence.
CUUUCGGUUUUUUUCAAAACCACUCCCUGUUGCCAGAACUCUCCUU